CAGUCGCCGCGGGAAUACGAAGGGUGCAAGCGUUAAUCGGAAUUACUGGGCGUAAAGCGUGCGUAGGCGGUGAGUUAAGUCUGCUGUGAAAUCCCCGGGCUCAACCUGGGAAUGGCAGUGGAUACUGGCUCGCUAGAGUGUGUCAGAGGAUGGUGGAAUUCCCGGUGUAGCGGUGAAAUGCGUAGAGAUCGGGAGGAACAUCAGUGGCGAAGGCGGCCAUCUGGGACAACACUGACACUGAGGCACGAAAGCGUGGGGAGCAAACAGGAUUAGAUACCCCAGUAGUCCCUGUCUCUUAUAC
rnacentral:rRNA from 1 species